GGAGUCUCCAGAGCAGCGCGCGGGGCAGACCUCCUCGGGUCCUCCGGCGCUUCGGUCUCCGGAGACGCCCGGCCUCCUGAAGGGUUCGGCUUGUCCUCCUCUGGCGCUCAGCUCCCUCUGGCGGCCGGGCUGGCAGGACCUCAGCGCCCAGCCCUUCCGUCUUGUUACGUCCAGGGUCUCACUCUGUGUCUCAGGCUGGAGUACAGUGGUGCAAUUGUAGAUGGCUGCAGCCCUCGACCUCCUGGGCUCAAGUGAUCCUCCUGCCUUAGCCUCUCGAGUAGCUGGGAGUACAGAUGCACACCACCACACCCAGCCUAGAAUGAAGAAACCUGCAGUUGGGAAGCAUGAAUUUACCACCUAUUAAGAAGUAGUCAUCAGGCAUGACCUCCCAUGGGUGCUCACAGAAGAUGGUGCCGUGCAUGUGCAGAACUUCCCAGGCCAAGAUCCACCACAUUGGACCCACUGAGAGACACACUGCCUUAUGCCAGGGACCUGGUGGAAAGGUCACCCCCAGAAUGGACAGGCUGGGAAGAGCUCACUUAACAGUGCACUGGUUUACUGAGACAAUUCAAAACACACAUUCAUUUUGUGUGCUUAUGAAAUAUAUCCCAAGAAAAUGGAAACAACUCUGUCCUUGACCUUCAAAAAGAAAUUGACUUACCUAGCUUAACUAUUCAAACAAACAACUGUGUACUCUCUUCAAUUCCGAUGAUGAUUUUGAUUUACUGUAAAUGACUGAAUUUAAUGAACUAAAUUAUGCUAUUUAAAUGCAUUUUGUGAAUGGUAUUGUAGUUUGUUACAAAGCAUUAUGUCCAUGCUAAAUUGUGCUGUAAAUGAUAUGGUAUGGAACAUAUGUGCUGUAUUCAUAAUUUAACUGUUGCUGUGGAUUGCCUUCUUGGAUAGGACACAUUGAAAAAAGGAGCCUUUAUUUACCUGGUGAAAUGAAGGUGAUAUCUCAGCAAAUCACUAGGUCUUACUGACCUUGGCAGAAUUACAGUGCUAAUAUUUUCACAUGGAUGAACUGUUCUUAAACAAUUUCUCUAAUGUAUAUGGCAGAAAUCGGCUUUCCAUUAAAACUAGGUAUAUAUGGUA
ensembl:lncRNA LINC00466 long intergenic non-protein coding RNA 466